rnacentral:rRNA from 1 species
UUGAACGCUGGCGGCAUGCUUUACACAUGCCAGUCGAACGGCAGCGCGGGCUUCGGCCUGGCGGCGAGUGGCGAACGGGUGAGUAAUGCAUCGGAACGUGCCCAGUAGUGGGGGAUAGCCCGGCGAAAGCCGGAUUAAUACCGCUUACGACCUGAGGGUGAAAGCGGGGGACCGAAAGGCCUCGCGCUAUUGGAGCGGCCGAUGUCGGAUUAGCUAGUUGGUGGGGUAAAGGCUUACCAAGGCGACGAUCCGUAGCUGGUCUGAGAGGACGACCAGCCACACUGGGACUGAGACACGGCCCAGACUCCUACGGGAGGCAGCAGUGGGGAAUUUUGGACAAUGGGGGCAACCCUGAUCCAGCCAUGCCGCGUGCGGGAAGAAGGCCUUCGGGUUGUAAACCGCUUUUGUUCGGGAAGAAAUCCUCUGGGCUAAUACCCCGGGGGGAUGACGGUACCGGAAGAAUAAGCACCGGCUAACUACGUG